rnacentral:rRNA from 1 species
GACGAACGCUGGCGGCGUGCUUAACACAUGCAAGUCGAACGGAAAGGCCCUGCUUUUGUGGGGUGCUCGAGUGGCGAACGGGUGAGUAACACGUGAGUAGCCUGCCCCUGACUUUGGGAUAACUUCAGGAAACUGGGGCUAAUACCGGAUAGGAGCUCCUGCUGCAUGGUGGGGGUUGGAAAGCUUCGGCGGUUGGGGAUGGACUCGCGGCUUAUCAGCUUGUUGGUGGGGUAGUGGCUUACCAAGGCUUUGACGGGUAGCCGGCCUGAGAGGGUGACCGGCCACAUUGGGACUGAGAUACGGCCCAGACUCCUACGGGAGGCAGCAGUGGGGAAUAUUGCACAAUGGGCGGAAGCCUGAUGCAGCAACGCCGCGUGCGGGAUGACGGCCUUCGGGUUGUAAACCGCUUUCGCCUGUGACGAAGCGUGAGUGACGGUAAUGGGUAAAGAAGCACCGGCUAACUACGUGCCAGCAGCCGCGGUGAUACGUAGGGUGCGAGCGUUGUCCGGAUUUAUUGGGCGUAAAGGGCUCGUAGGUGGUUGAUCGCGUCGGAAGUGUAAUCUUGGGGCUUAACCCUGAGCGUGCUUUCGAUACGGGUUGACUUGAGGAAGGUAGGGGAGAAUGGAAUUCCUGGUGGAGCGGUGGAAUGCGCAGAUAUCAGGAGGAACACCAGUGGCGAAGGCGGUUCUCUGGGCCUUUCCUGACGCUGAGGAGCGAAAGCGUGGGGAGCGAACAGGCUUAGAUACCCUGGUAGUCCACGCUGUAAACGGUGGGUACUAGGUGUGGGGUCCAUUCCACGGGUUCCGUGCCGUAGCUAACGCUUUAAGUACCCCGCCUGGGGAGUACGGCCGCAAGGCUAAAACUCAAAGGAAUUGACGGGGCCCCGCACAAGCGGCGGAGCAUGCGGAUUAAUUCGAUGCAACGCGUAGAACCUUACCUGGGUUUGACAUGGAUCGGGAGUGCUCAGAGAUGGGUGUGCCUCUUUUGGGGUCGGUUCACAGGUGGUGCAUGGCUGUCGUCAGCUCGUGUCGUGAGAUGUUGGGUUAAGUCCCGCAACGAGCGCAACCCUUGUUCACUGUUGCCAGCACGUUAUGGUGGGGACUCAGUGGAGACCGCCGGGGUCAACUCGGAGGAAGGUGGGGAUGACGUCAAGUCAUCAUGCCCCUUAUGUCCAGGGCUUCACGCAUGCUACGAUGGCUGGUACAGAGAGUGGCGAGCCUGUGAGGGUGAGCGAAUCUCGGAAAGCCGGUCUCAGUUCGGAUUGGGGUCUGCAACUCGACCUCAUGAAGUCGGAGUCGCUAGUAAUCGCAGAUCAGCAACGCUGCGGUGAAUACGUUCCCGGG